CAAUCCUCGAGCCUUAGCCUCCCAAGUAACUGGAAUUACAGUCACCAAGAAUGCUACUGUGGCUUCCUCCUCUGAAAACACCACCCACCUUCAAAUCUCUGAGUAAGAUCUUGCUCAGUCUCAUCGAAUCCUGCUGCUCGGACAUUGCUGAAGAAGUCUUUCAGUUGCAGCUACAACGAGGCAGCCAGCAGUAAAGAUGAUGAGCCAACGGGUACUGAUUGAACCUGGGUAGGUGUAAAAAUAGCCUAAGCAAUUUAGAAAUAAGCAGCUAACUGUAUUCGGACCGGCAAAAAGGCAGGGUACCUGAGGUGGGAGGAGUAAGAAAACAGAAAUUCACGUCACCAUCUCUCCAUCCUUUGCUGCUUCCUCAAUUCAAACCACAUCAUUGUGCUGCUGGAUAAUAUGACAACCUCCAAACUGGUCUCCCUUCCUCUUGCCUUGUUCCCUCUACCCCAUUCUCUACCCAGUGGUUAGAGGAGUUUGCAAAAUUGCAGAUGAGAAACCAUUCCACCCCACUGCUUAAAAGCUUUUAGUGGGUUCCUGCAGCCAAAAUCCUGCUCCAGCUCACAGGCUCCUCCCCAUGUUCUGGCCUCUGCUUGCUUUUGCUUCUCAUUUCCGGCCACUCUCCUUUCAGCAUUCUACAGGACUAAUGGAAGUCCCCAUACUCUUUCUAGUGUCCUGGCCUUUGCAUAUGCUAUUCCCUGUGCCUGAAACACACCUUAUUAUCCCUACCACACCAGCUGCUUUAGUAUUAUUAUUACUUAUCUAAUUUUGGCCUUACCAUCAGACUAGAAAUGCCCUGAGGCCCAGGGCUGUGUCUUUGGGUUCAUGCUGUAUUCCCAUCACCUAGCACAUCCCUUAGUACUAAAUGAAUGAACAUAUGCAUGAACACAUUCAGGAAAUUGCUAAAUCAAAAGGAUUCAGGUAGGGAAGUAGUAGAAUAUAACAUUGGAAAGAUAAGUAGAACCUGGUUGUUCAGGCAGAGCUCAGACUGCAGGUUAGAGGCGUGACGAUUAUCCUGUAGGCAAAGGGUUUUUAAGCAGGACAGGGACAUGAUAAAAUGUAUUCAUGAAGACUAACUAGUUCAUGAGGGGUUGAAUGGAAGAGAGAGCGGAGGUGGGCAAAAUCAGCUAGGAGGCUGUUAGAACAGUUAUAAUAGCAAUUGUGAAAGAAAAGGGGAGAGAAAAGCAAAAUACGUGUGAGAGAAGGAGAGACUCCAUGAGGUGUCUUACAGACGUCACAUUUAACAUCUCUAAAGCUCAAAACUCACCUUGUACCUGCCAAUGCUUCUAGUCCUGGUACCAGGACCACCCACUGGCAUUCAUACAGGGGCCUAAGCCAGACGCCUGGGGGGGAAUCAGCCCCUCCCUCCCCUUUCUCAUCCCCACCCGAAUCCAGUUAGCCAUCCAAUCAUAACACUCAAGUUAGAAGCAUCUCACAUGUGUCUCCUUCCUUCUCCAGUCCAUCUCCACUGCCUCUCUUUGGUCCUUCUCUUUCACUGGUAUCUUUAUUACAUCACUAAUCAGUUUUAAAUCUUCACUUUUUUCCCCAUUGUUUUCAGGAUAAAAUUCAAAUCCAGACCCUUCACUGUCUUCCCCUGGCCCAUCUCUAGUCGCACUCCUUUAGUGCUGGGAAACGUGCGAGGUGAUUGCCUCUAGGUAUAAAUCUGAGCCAGCAGAGGAAUGGGGGUUUCAUUCAGGUAAACAGGAAAGUCAGGAGGGAAAGCUAAUUUAGAAGGUAGAGAAAGCAAUGAACUGACUUAAGUAUGGUUAUU